rnacentral:rRNA from 1 species
AUGAUGUACGGCCACGGCAUCGAGGGCAUGGGCUUCUUCCAUAUCGAGGUGCUUGACGCUACUCCGCCCUCCCCCUCGCUCCUGGCGGUUGUCUCUGUCGUGGGCGAGGGUGCCGCCUCCCCCGCGAUGAUCGAGGCCGAGCUCAACCACCUGUGUAGGUGCAAGUGGGACUGGCAGGUGGCCCCCACUUCCGCGAACGCCUUCACGGUGGUCUUCCUGGACGCCAUCAGCAUGGGCUACUGCACCCGCAGUGGCAACAUCACCUUGGUUCUCAACCAGUUGGUGGUGAACAUCUCCGAGCCGAAGUGGGACCCCAAGGCGGUGGUGGUUCUGGACACAGCGUGGAUCCUCGUCACCGGCCUACCUGAUGUUGCCCGGUCGGAGCGUGUCAUCCGCAGUAUGCCCAAGAUUCUCGGCAAGGUGGUGGUGGUCGACGAGCUCUCUCUCCGUAAGGAGGAGGAGGUCCGGGUGAAGGUGAAAUGCCUGGACUCCUCCAAGCUCCGUGCCACUGUCCGCGUGUUGUUCAACGACGAGGGUUUCGACCUCAAGAUCUGCCCCGAGCCGCUGAACCACGUCAGCCGCCCCCGCUUCUCCGAUGACGGCCACCAGGGGGUGGGCCGGGUGAUGCCAACGACUCCCACCAUCGGCGCCCUCGCCCAUCUCGCCACGACAACCCGGAGGACGACGACGACCUGUCAGAGCACUCUCGCUCCCCCUCCCGCGAGCCUUCCAACCCCCCUGCGGGUCGUGGUGGUUCGGGAGUCGGGCGCACCCGGGUGA